rnacentral:rRNA from 1 species
GAACGGUAGCACAGAGAGCUUGCUCUCGGGUGACGAGUGGCGGACGGGUGAGUAAUGUCUGGGAAACUGCCCGAUGGAGGGGGAUAACUACUGGAAACGGUAGCUAAUACCGCAUAACGUCUUCGGACCAAAGUGGGGGACCUUCGGGCCUCACACCAUCGGAUGUGCCCAGAUGGGAUUAGCUAGUAGGUGGGGUAAUGGCUCACCUAGGCGACGAUCCCUAGCUGGUCUGAGGGGAUGACCAGCCACACUGGAACUGAGACACGGUCCAGACUCCUACGGGAGGCAGCAGUGGGGAAUAUUGCACAAUGGGCGCAAGCCUGAUGCAGCCAUGCCGCGUGUAUGAAGAAGGCCUUCGGGUUGUAAAGUACUUUCAGCGGGGAGGAAGGCGAUGAGGUUAAUAACCUUAUCGAUUGACGUUACCCGCAGAGGAAGCACCGGCUAACUCCGUG